rnacentral:rRNA from 1 species
GACGAACGCUGGCGGCGUGCUUAACACAUGCAAGUCGAACGAAGAGCGAUGGAAGCUUGCUUCUAUCAAUCUUAGUGGCGAACGGGUGAGUAACGCGUAAUCAACCUGCCCUUCAGAGGGGGACAACAGUUGGAAACGACUGCUAAUACCGCAUACGAUCUAAUCUCGGCAUCGAGGAUAGAUGAAGGGUGGCCUCUACAUGUAAGCUAUCACUGAAGGAGGGGAUUGCGUCUGAUUAGCUAGUUGGAGGGGUAACGGCCCACCAAGGCGAUGAUCAGUAGCCGGUCUGAGAGGAUGAACGGCCACAUUGGGACUGAGACACGGCCCAGACUCCUACGGGAGGCAGCAGUGGGGAAUCUUCCGCAAUGGACGAAAGUCUGACGGAGCAACGCCGCGUGAGCGAUGACGGCCUUCGGGUUGUAAAGCUCUGUUAAUCGGGACGAAAGGCCUUCUUGCGAAUAGUGAGAAGGAUUGACGGUACCGGAAUAGAAAGCCACGGCUAACUACGUG